rnacentral:rRNA from 1 species
UGGAUCCAGACUUUGAUUCUGGCUCAGGACGAACGCUGGCGGCGUGCCUAACACAUGCAAGUCGAACGAAACUUCUUUAAAGGAUUUCUUCGGAAUGAAUUUGAUUAAGUUUAGUGGCGGACGGGUGAGUAACGCGUGAGUAACCUGCCUCUAAGAGGGGAAUAACAUUCUGAAAAGAAUGCUAAUACCGCAUAACAUAUAUUUAUCGCAUGGUAGAUAUAUCAAAGAUUUAUCGCUUAGAGAUGGACUCGCGUCCGAUUAGUUAGUUGGUGAGGUAACGGCUCACCAAGACCGCGAUCGGUAGCCGGACUGAGAGGUUGAACGGCCACAUUGGGACUGAGACACGGCCCAGACUCCUACGGGAGGCAGCAGUGGGGGAUAUUGCGCAAUGGGGGAAACCCUGACGCAGCAACGCCGCGUGAAGGAUGAAGGUCUUCGGAUUGUAAACUUCUUUUGUUAAGGACGAAUAAAGUGACGGUACUUAAUGAAUAAGCUCCGGCUAACUACGUGCCAGCAGCCGCGGUAAUACGUAGGGAGCAAGCGUUGUCCGGAUUUACUGGGUGUAAAGGGUGCGUAGGCGGCUUUGCAAGUCAGAUGUGAAAUCUAUGGGCUCAACCCAUAGCCUGCAUUUGAAACUGCAGAGCUUGAGUGAAGUAGAGGCAGGCGGAAUUCCCCGUGCAGCGGUGAAAUGCGUAGAGAUGGGGAGGAACACCAGUGGCGAAGGCGGCCUGCUGGGCUUUAACUGACGCUGAGGCACGAAAGCGUGGGUAGCAAACAGGAUUGGAUACCCUGGUAGUCCACGCCGUAAACGAUGAUUACUAGGUGUGGGGGGUCUGACCCCUUCCGUGCCGGAGUUAACACAAUAAGUAAUCCACCUGGGGAGUACGGCCGCAAGGUUGCAACUCAAAUGAAUUGACGGA